GUUUUUUUUUUUUUUUUUUUUUUUUUUUUUUGAU
rnacentral:ribozyme from 1 species